rnacentral:lncRNA from 1 species
UGGGCUGACGACUUACCUUUUCUUCCAUGCUGGGGGCUUCUGUGUUGAGAAAGCUGCAAAUUAACCUCGUAGGCUGACCUAAAAUUGCCUUGGCCACUGACAGUUAUAAUGGAGCUGACUGCAAAGGCAAGACCUUGUUGCCUUGUGAACCUGGCCAUGUUGCUAUGGGAACCAGAGUUCUGCUCUCCCUGUGGCUCUCUGGAGUAAGGAAGUGUCCCCUGGGAGUAGAGGGGCCAAGCCAGACAGGGGAAUGGGUAUGGAGGCAGAAAACCUGGCUUUUGAGAGUUAUUGAGGGCCACCUCCAUGUUAUUUGCAAAAUGAACAUACUCCAGCAUCAGCACCACAUUGUACCUUGGUGAUACACUUAAAAUGUGGCAGAAGAUCACCAGAGUGUGCGCGUGGCCAUUUCUCAAGAGCUAGUUGCUGUGGCAUAUUUGGUAGGGGAGUAGGCAGCACGUGGAAGGUGGUCAUUUCAAAACUGGAAGUCGCCCAGCAUUGUCAGUGACAUCUCAAGUGGAAGGAAAUUACCAAAAACAAAGUCUGGUCUUUUCUCUGCUCUCACAAGGGAGGUUUCACUUUUGGCCCUCGUACAUUUAGCUAUGUAAAUUUCUCUCACUAUUUCCUUAAAAAAAUAAAAAUAAAAAAAAUAAUAGAGGUGGAGUGUUU